UGAAAAAUCUAAGUACCUGAAGGAAGAGAAAGAAAUCCGAUUCCGUAAGUAGCGGCGAGCGAACGCGGAUUAGCCAAAACCAAUAAAGUUUUCUUUAUUGGGGUUGCGGACAUAUCAUAACGAAGAGAUAUCGUAAUUGAAGAGGUUUGGAAAGACCCACCACAGAAGGUAAUAGUCCUGUAUGUUAAACGAGAAGACUUUA
rnacentral:rRNA from 1 species